rnacentral:rRNA from 1 species
UACGGAGGGUGCAAGCGUUAUCCGGAUUCACUGGGUUUAAAGGGUGCGUAGGCGGCCCGGUAAGUCCGCUGUAAAAGUCCAGGGCUCAACCCUGGAAAGCCGGUGGAUACUGUCGGGCUAGAGUCCGGAAGAGGCGAGUGGAAUUCCUGGUGUAGCGGUGGAAUGCGCAGAUAUCAGGAAGAACACCCGUGGCGAAGGCGGCUCUCUGGUACGGAACUGACGCUGAGACGCGAAAGCGUGGGGAGCGAACAGG